UUCUGGCUCAGGACGAACGCUGGCGGCGUGCUUAACACAUGCAAGUCGAGCGAUGAAGCUUCUUCGGAAGUGGAUUAGCGGCGGACGGGUGAGUAACACGUGGGUAACCUGCCUCAUAGAGGGGAAUAGCCUUCCGAAAGGAAGAUUAAUACCGCAUAAGAUUGUAAUAUCGCAUGAUAUAGCAAUUAAAGGAGUAAUCCGCUAUGAGAUGGACCCGCGUCGCAUUAGCUAGUUGGUGAGGUAACGGCUCACCAAGGCGACGAUGCGUAGCCGACCUGAGAGGGUGAUCGGCCACAUUGGGACUGGGACACGGCCCAGACUCCUGCGGGAGGCAGCAGUGGGGAAUAUUGCACAAUGGGGGAAACCCUGAUGCAAGCAACGCCGCGUGAGUGAUGACGGUCUUCGGAUUGUAAAGCUCUGUCUUCAGGGACGAUAAUGACGGUACCUGAGGAGGAAGCCACGGCUAACUACGUGCCAGCCGCCGC
rnacentral:rRNA from 1 species